rnacentral:rRNA from 1 species
GACGAACGCUGGCGGCGUGCCUAAUACAUGCAAGUAGAACGCACAGUUUAUACCGUAGCUUGCUACACCAUAAACUGUGAGUUGCGAACGGGGGAGUAACGCGUAGGUAACCUGCCUGGUAGCGGGGGAUAACUAUUGGAAACGAUAGCUAAUACCGCAUAAUAUUGAUUAUUGCAUGAUAAUUGAUUGAAAGAUGCUAUUGCAUCACUACCAGAUGGACCUGCGUUGUAUUAGCUAGUAGGUGAGGUAACGGCUCACCUAAGCGACGAUACAUAGCCGACCUGGGAGGGUGAUCGGCCAAACUGGGACUGAGACACGGCCCAGACUCCUACGGGAGGCAGCAGUAGGGAAUCUUCGGCAAUGGACGAAAGUCUGACCGAGCAACGCCGCGUGAGUGAAGAAGGUUUUCGGAUCGUAAAGCUCUGUUGUAAGAGAAGAACGGGUGUGAGAGUGGAAAGUUCACACUGUGACGGUAUCUUACCAGAAAGGGACGGCUAACUACGUG